GACGAACGCUGGCGGCGUGCUUAACACAUGCAAGUCGAACGGAAAGGCCCUGCUUGCCGGGUGCUCGAGUGGCGAACGGGUGAGUAACACGUGGGUGAUCUGCCCCUUACUUUGGGAUAAGCCUGGGAAACUGGGUCUAAUACUGGAUAGGACCAUGCUGUAGGUGGUGUGGUGGAAAGAUUAGUUUCGGUAAGGGAUGAGCUCGCGGCCUAUCAGCUUGUUGGUGGGGUAAUGGCCUACCAAGGCGUCGACGGGUAGCCGGCCUGAGAGGGUGGACGGCCACAUUGGGCCUGAGAUACGGGCCAGACUCCUACGGGAGGCAGAAGGGGGGAAUAUUGGACAAUGGGCGAAAGCCUGAUGCAGCGACGCCGCGUGGGGGAUGACGGCCUUCGGGUUGUAAACUCCUUUCAGCCAUGACGAAGCCUUCGGGUGACGGUAGUGGUAGAAGAAGCACCGGCUAACUACGUG
rnacentral:rRNA from 1 species